UGCAGCAACGAGAGGAGCUGGGAUAGUGGUGGUCUAGGGGUUAAGGGGCCAACAUUCUAGUUCCAGCUCUGCCACAACCGGCUGCACGACCACAGACAGUUUUCUUACCUGUAAAACGUGAAGGUUGGACCACAUGAUUUCUCAUCAGCCAUGGCUCUAGCAUCGGAGGUGAUCAGGCUGAAGCAACCUUGUGUGCUACUCUCACAUUGAGCGGUUCCCCUCUACCCCAUUCCAUUGAUCGAUCACGUCUCCUUAGUUUCCUUUUGGCUAUGACAGUUUCUCAGACUUUCCUGUUUUUGAUGACUUUGGCCUGCAGCUUUUUUAUACCCUCUGACCCUGCUCACUGCGGUCCAGAAUGCACUGCUCCAUCUACUACAGAUCACUGCUGGGUCCACCCACCCUUUUGACUUGGAGUGGAAAAGAAACCAUCACCAAGUCAACGGCUGUAUACCAUGGACCUCAGACUGUGCUAAUCUGCUGUAACAGAGACACCACAACUGGCAGCGCAGCUGCAAUUAGAGCAUGAAGAGGGGAAGUGAGG
rnacentral:lncRNA from 1 species